GACGAACGCUGGCGGCGGGCUUAACACAUGCAAGUCGAACGGAAGGGGGCUGCUUGCAGGUGACUCGAGUGGCGAACGGGUGAGUAAUACCUGGGUGUUCGGCCCGUCACGUGGGGAAAAGCCUGGGAAACGGCGUCUAUAACGCGAAAGUCGCCAGGGAGAGAGUGAGGGUUGUUCAGUUUUUUCGGUGUUGGAUGAGCCUACGGCCUAUCAGCUAGUUGGUGGGGUAAUGGCCUACCAAGGCGGCGACGCGUAACCGGACUGAGAGGGUGGACGGCCACCUUGACACUGAGAGGCGGCCCCGACGCCGACGGGUGGCAGAUGUGGGGAAGCCUGAACCAUCCACGCCAGCUUGAUGCAGCAGCGCCGCGUGGGGGAUGACGCUCUUAGGGUUGUAAACGCGUUUCGCUAUAAACGCAUCUUUUUGUGACGGUACCUAGAUAAGAAGCACCGGCUAACUACGUA
rnacentral:rRNA from 1 species